AGGAAAAUCCAUGUACCAAUAUAGUCGACUGCAGACCAUGUGCAGGUCUGUAAUCGAAUUGAAUAUGUAAACAUUUAUGUAAUACAAAUUUAAACACUGUAAAAAGAAAUGGCAAAAAUCUGGAAGGAGAAUAUAUUUUCUGUCACCUGCUUGACCACAAUAUUCUAUUUCAUCAAAUUGGGGAUCAUAAUACAUUUUUUAAGGAAAAAAACAUAUGCACAUCUACCUUAAAAUUAAAUGGUCUUUUUAUAUAUUUCUACUCAUUUAAAAAAAGUGCAGAAUUGCAAAUUGAUCUAUGACCAUGGUUCAGUUAACUGGAACAAAAAUUCAAAGUACUAGUUAUAACAGGACAAUAAACCUAUUAAAUCAUAUCUAAUAAGGGAAAUCGACUGUAGUGAACUGACAUCUUACAUAUGGAAUGACUGAUAGUUGCAAAAUUACAACGAUAUAAUCUGUGUUAUCGGGCUGACGUUUUUUUUUCUUUUUAGGAUACUGUUUUCAUGAUGGAAAGUAUAUACAACCAAACCACGAAUUUUCCAAAGCGGAUAACGUUAACUUCUGUUUAUGUACAGAUGAUGGAAUUUUGAAAUGUACAAUUCAACACAGUUCUUAUGAAGAUAUGUGUGUUUACUAGAAAUAUCCAUGUAUAUUCUACACAGUAUAGAGGCUGAAUAUUUCAAAAGAUAGCUGUAUGAUUAUAGAAACGUUGGUACAUGCCGUAGUAUUUACAUAUUGAACGUACAGUGUUUUUGUAAUAUAAAACAAAAUUCAAGAAUGCAAAGAUUCCAGUAUGGCAACAGCACAAUUGUCAGUUCAGAAAUUUUUUUAGAUUUUAUCAGAUAAUGAUCAGAUUCCAUAAAGAUUUUGACAAUUUUAAGAUAAAUAUAUACAUUAUUAUUUAUGUCGAGUAUUUUUGCAUUGGAACAACAACUUGUAUGGAAUACAAACGCAGAUAAAAGAAUAAAGA
rnacentral:lncRNA from 1 species